GUGAAGCUAUUUGGGACAAUGCUGAAGAUGUUUGCUCGCACUGGGCAAUCAGGUGCAGAUCAGACCCUAGUGCUGCGACGUCUUGGAGAGUUUGGCGAUGUUGUGCGUAGCAUGGAAAACAAAAUGGACACUAUGCUGCAACAUUUUAGUGCCAAUGUGUCUGUUGGAGAGCUAUCCCUGCCAGGGGAUGUUACUCCCCCUAGACACCCAGGAAUAUUUGGUGUUUCUUGACAACAUUUUGAGGGAGGAUAAAGAGCUCCAGGAACGAUUUGUAAGUGUGUUGCGUUCGUUUAUAAGGCCGUAGGGUAAUCUAAAAAGUCAAAUUAAGUUUGUACACAGUAUAUUCUACAGUCUAAAUCCACAGCCUGUCACAUUUUAUAUUUAUGUAUGAGAAGCUUGCGAGAAAUUUAAUUUAACAAAUUUUUGGAUUUUCAGCUUCGGUUUUUGGCUAUCAAAUGUGGGAGGGACCUGAAGACAACAGUGUGGAGAAUGCUUCAGAGUAUUUUCUCUAAUAACCUUGCCGUUAAUACAACCUGGACUGGUAUAGGGGAUAAAACCUGUUUUAGAGACCUGUUCCUGAAGACCAUUGUUCAAAGUAAUUUUUUUAAGUAGAUGCCCUUCUGCCUUAUGCCAUUAAAAUGUAAUGACAGAUCUGUAUUUUCUACAGGGGCCCUCCGGAAGAACCCGGCAACCCAGGAUGCCACUGAUGAGGCGGUCCAGGUUAACGUUACACGUUACCUGAAAGGAGCAUCAGACUGUGAAGGAGGAAAAAGCCGCCCAGCUGAGAAGGACCCACAGCCAACCCCUUAAACCUAGGCUGACUACUGACACCCCAGCAUCCCUGAACUGGAACACUUUCUUUAUCCUGCAGUCAGUAACAUCAAGAAGCCACAAGUGCCAGACUACACUCACCAAACCCACCCUGUUUUUUUUGUAUUAACU
ensembl:lncRNA